ACAAUCAGCUGCGGCGUUGUGCGAUCAAAACAAAAGCAACAGUUAUAAAAAUAAACAUUUGAAAAAAACGCAAUGAUAAGAUUAUAAAUCUUAAGUAGCCCACAAUUUACGAUUCCCCCACCACUGUUAAAAAUUCCUAGUCACGGUUAAACAGUGUAUUAAACUCUAAAUAGGCUAUCAAUUGAUUACUCCUUGGGCAACUUGUCAAGAUCAAUGCCGUCAUCAAUGGACACCCCUGUCGCCUGGCUCAGCUCCAGCAUUUCCUUAACCUGACAGUUGCAAGGCGAACAUCUCCUCGGGCGAGAUGUCCAAGGGAUCCACCAAACUCAUGAGGAAACUGGCCGAUAUGGAUAAGCUGUACGGCAGGAAACGCACGUACUCCUUCAGAAGCUCACCGCGACUAAGAAAUAGCGAAAUCCGGAACCUCCUCCUUGGCGUGCUCCCUAUAGCUAUUAUGAAGCGCCAAGGUGUAUUCACAGAAGAUGGCCUCGAAGUUUGGAUCGCGUACCUCGGCAAAAAUGGACACGGCUAGAAAGACGUUGAGAUCGACCAUGGGAGAGGAGACUCGCAAUGUCUGGUAGUCGAACAUCAUGAUCUCCUGCGGCUCCUCCUUGUCAUCGUACCUGUACGCCACAUUAUUCCUCACAUAAUCGCCGUGGCACAGGGUGGCCAGUGGCUCCCUGGGCGCCACCCGUUGCCUACCGUAUUGCGAAUAGUCCGAGAUCAUGAAACAGAACUUCUUAACAAACUCCUCGUCGAUCUGUGGCUGAUAGGUGGCCACCGCCUUGGCCGCUCGAUCGAUGCUCGUUUUCAUGGUGAGCUUCCAUUCCGGAUGAAUGUUAUCGUUGGCAUAGCGAGAUUCCUUCAGAUUGUCAGUCAGCUGGGCAAACUUUUCCGGGUUCUUGUGCUUCAUGGCGUACGCAAAGCCAUGGAACCUUCCCAGGUAACUCACGGCAAUCAUGGCGUGCUGCAGACUCAGACCCACACGAUCCUUGGUGACCCGCCAUCCCUGCUCCGCGAAAUUCUCCAGAAUGGCCACAGCCGAAUGCUGGUUCAACUCGCCGUAAUAGUACUUGGGUGCGGCAAACUUGCCAUCGGUGAACUUCUGAAACUCUGGCAGAAUUUCCGUAUAGAAAUUUAUCUCGUUGGUAAAAAGGGGCCCAAACUGUAUGGAUUCAUACAUUUCUGGUGGCAUAGCAGGUGUUUUCUACAAAAAAAAAAAAAAACAAUUAAUUAUUGGUAUUCUGGGGUCAUUGCAUGCCAAAGUAAACUUCAUCAUUAGAUGUGAUUUAUUUUGAAUUCAAAAUCAAUUCGCUUUGUUCUUUUGUUGAGAUGCCUCCCUCUAUUUCACAAUGUUUGCCAUAAAACCCACACUCUCACUAAGCUAUCUGAGUUUGCUGGAAAACAAAACUGUUCGACUAUCGACCAACUAC
ensembl:ncRNA asRNA:CR43730 antisense RNA:CR43730